rnacentral:rRNA from 1 species
AACGUAGGACGCGAGCGUUAUCCGGAGUUACUGGGCGUAAAGCGCGGGCAGGCGGUCUGACAAGUCUGAUGUGAAAUCUCCGGGCUUAACCGGGAGAGGCCAUUGGAAACUGACAGGCUGGAGGGCAGUAGAGGUAGGCGGAAUUCCGGGUGGAGUGGUGAAAUGCGCAGAUAUCGGGAAGAACACCCGUGGCGAAGGCGGUUCUCUGGGACGGUACUGACGCUGAGACGCGAAAGCGUGGGGAGCGAACAGG